GACGAACGCUGGCGGCGUGCCUAAUACAUGCAAGUAGAACGCUGAAGAGAGGAGCUUGCUCUUCUUGGAUGAGUUGCGAACGGGUGAGUAACGCGUAGGUAACCUGCCUUGUAGCGGGGGAUAACUAUUGGAAACGAUAGCUAAUACCGCAUAACAAUGGAUGACACAUGUCAUUUAUUUGAAAGGGGCAAUUGCUCCACUACAAGAUGGACCUGCGUUGUAUUAGCUAGUAGGUGAGGUAAUGGCUCACCUAGGCGACGAUACAUAGCCGACCUGAGAGGGGGAUCGGCCACACUGGGACUGAGACACGGCCCAGACUCCUACGGGAGGCAGCAGUAGGGAAUCUUCGGCAAUGGGGGCAACCCUGACCGAGCAACGCCGCGUGAGUGAAGAAGAUUUUCGGAUCGUAAAGCUCUGUUGUAAGUCAAGAACGGGUGUGAGAGUGGAAAGUUCACACUGUGACGGUAGCUUACCAGAAAGGGACGGCUAACUACGUG
rnacentral:rRNA from 1 species